AGGGACUUCUACAUUGGCCGCCUCCGGGGCCUCGGAGCCUCCUCGACAAGCCUAUCAGGCCGGCCUCCAGUUGGCCCCCCAAACUCUGCCUCCAAUGAAGAGAUGUCCAGAGUGGGGUGCACCUCCUUCAGUCGACCCAAUAAGCUUUGGGCACUCCAUGAGGCCCAGAAAUUGGCGAAUUCGUCAUACAGGGGAUGGUCUUCAAAGUGGUCGAUGAAGUUCUAGACUGCCACCUCCCCUGCAGACUUCAACUCCUCCUUCAAAGAGGCAGUCUCCUCUGACUUUGUCUCUGCCUUCUGGCUCAGCUCCGCCUUCUCUUUGUUGGAGGCCUCCAGAGCCUCGGUGGCGAGCUUGUGGUGUUCAUUAGCAUGAUCAAGCCGCCAAGUCACAGCAGCCACUUGGCACUUCACCUUGUACAACUCCUUCUUCAGCUGUUCAGCCUCUCCUUUGGCGGCAGUUAGCUGGGCCUCAGCCUCCUUCUUCCCCUCCUCCGCCUACGUGGCCUUAGCUUGGGCUGCUCGCACGGCAUCCCCGUAGUGCAUCGCCUCCUCGAGGCGCUUGGCGAGGUCCUCUCUUUUAGAGUUUAGAUCCUUCACCAAGCCCUCAAACUGGAUGCUUGUACUCAGGGCCCGAGCCACGCAGGCGCUGUUCGCAGCCACCAAAUCCUCAGUCAUGCAGGAGGCGGUGUGGUCCCUCCACUCCUCUGUCUAAUAUUUGCUGUGGACCACCGCCACCGUAGCUGUUUCUAGAGGAAGAACCUCCAACACUUCCUUUACGAGCUCUUCGGUAUUGGUGCCCAGAAAGUCGACCUCCUUAGAGGGACGGGGCCUCUUCCUCUUUUGCUGCCCCGGCACUCGAUCAAUUGGCACUGCAGCGAGGGGUGUUGUGGCCGGGGCAGUGGCAGGCUCAGUUGGGGCGGGCCUUUUCUCAUGAAUGGCCACCCCGGUGAGAAUUGUGGUCUGCCUCAGAGCAGGGAUUGGCCUCGCCACAGUUGGGCAUUUUGGAGAGCGCGGUACUCUUCUUGCCCUUCCUCCGGAUCCUCCAGUACCUCCUCCUCCGUCGGAGGUUGAAGUCUUUUACUGGCUUCCACCAAAUCCUCUAUUUGCUUUUUGUACGAGGAGGAGGAGACCUUCAACGCCCAUGCCUCUGCCAUCAUCUUCUGGAUGGUCCUGAAGUUGGGGCGCACCGACAUCUUCUUAUUAAAGUUGUCUGCAAAGAGCGAAUAAGAAAUUAGUACAAGUCUUGAGAGUUUGGAAUAAAAAGCAAAGACUUCGGUCCAGUUACCUUGGGAUGCCAUCAGAUCGUGAGUAAUGAAGUGGAUGUUCUUUCGGAUCAGCCGAUGGUAAGACCUCUUCUUUUGAGGCAGCCGAUAAAUGAUGCAGAUAGUGUCAAAGUCCUCGGAUGACAGCUCGCACCGAAG
rnacentral:lncRNA from 1 species